CCUACGGGCGGCAGCAGUGGGGAAUCUUGCGCAAUGGGCGGAAGCCUGACGCAGCGACGCCGCGUGCGGGACGAAGGCCUUCGGGUCGUAAACCGCUUUCAGCAGGGACGAGGCCCUCACGGUGACGGUACCUGCAGAAGAAGCCCCGGCUAACUACGUGCCAGCAGCCGCGGUAAUACGGAGGGUGCGCGCGUUAAUCGGAAUUACUGGGCGUAAAGCGCUCGUAGGCGGUAUGUCAAGUCAAGGGUGAAAUCCCCGCGCUCAACGUGGGGACUGCCUUUGAAACUGGCAAACUGGAGUGUGUGAGAGGAUAGUGGAAUUCCAGGUGUAGGAGGGAAAUCCGUAGAUAUCUGGAGGAACAUCAGUGGCGAAGGCGACUAUCUGGCACAUAACUGACGCUGAGGAGCGAAAGCGUGGGUAGCAAACAGGAUUAGAUACCCGAGUAGUC
rnacentral:rRNA from 1 species